rnacentral:tRNA from 1 species
GCCAGAAAAUAGCUCAGUUGGGGAGAGCGUUAGACUGAAUCUAAGGUCCCUGGUUCAAUCCGGGUUUCGGCA